rnacentral:rRNA from 1 species
AUACGUAGGCAGCAAGCGUUGUUCGGAAUCACUGGGCUUAAAGGGUGCGUAGGCGGCCAAGUCAGUCGGGUGUGAAAUCCCUCGGCUCAACCGAGGAAUGGCGUCCGAUACUGCUUGGCUCGAGGGAGACAGGGGCGUGUGGAACUUCGGGUGGAGCGGUGAAAUGCGUUGAGAUCCGAAGGAACGCCGGUGGCGAAAGCGACGCGCUGGGUCUCUUCUGACGCUGAGGCACGAAAGCUAGGGGAGCGAACGGGAGUAGAAACCCCAGUAGUCC